rnacentral:lncRNA from 1 species
AGUCAACAACCAAUUCCUAGUUAACCAUAUAUACGCUUGAGUUCAGUGCUCAUGUAGUGUUAGACACUUAGACUAUACAAGUAUCAUUAACCGGUCGACCAACAAUCAGACAAGAACAUGAUCGGCCAACCAAUGAUACCGCAUAGCUUUAAUAUCCACCACCCUUCACAAGCAAUCCCUCAAACACAUACAUGCCAACGUCAGGCCUACACUAACCAAAUACACACCAAGCCUAAACCAGACUUAGGACUUAAUAUCAGAACCUGCAAACAAAUCAAUCAACAACCACAACCAC